GAUCAUGGUUCAGAUUGAACGCUGGCGGCAGGCCUAACACAUGCAAGUCGAACGGUAACAGAAAGCAGCUUGCUGCUUUGCUGACGAGUGGCGGACGGGUGAGUAAUGUCUGGGAAACUGCCUGAUGGAGGGGGAUAACUACUGGAAACGGUAGCUAAUACCGCAUAACGUCGCAAGACCAAAGAGGGGGGACCUUCGGGCCUCUUGCCAUCGGAUGUGCCCAGAUGGGAUUAGCUUG
rnacentral:rRNA from 1 species